rnacentral:rRNA from 1 species
UGGGAUGACGUCAAGUCCUCAUGGCCUUUAUGCUUAGGGCUACACACGUGCUACAAUGGGUGGUACAAAGAGAAGCCAACUCGCGAGAGCGCGCCAAUCUCAAAAAGCCAUCCUCAGUUCGGAUUGGAGUCUGCAACUCGACUCCAUGAAGUUGGAAUCGCUAGUAAUCGCGGAUCAGCAUGCCGCGGUAGAAUUACCGGUUCCCCGGGUCCUU